rnacentral:tRNA from 1 species
GGACAGGUUCCCGAGUGGCCAAAGGGAGCAGACUGUAAAUCUGCCAGCACCGCUUUCGGUGGUUCGAAUCCACCCCUGUCCACCA